rnacentral:rRNA from 1 species
UACGUAGGGAGCAAGCGUUGUUCGGAUUUACUGGGCGUAAAGGGCGCGUAGGCGGCAGAUUAAGUCAGCUGUGAAAUCUCCGAGCUUAACUCGGAACUGUCAGCUGAUACUGUUUUGCUAGAGUGCGGAAGGGGCAAUCGGAAUUCUUGGUGUAGCGGUGAAAUGCGUAGAUAUCAAGAGGAACACCUGAGGUGAAGACGGGUUGCUGGGCCGACACUGACGCUGAGUGCGCGAAAGCCAGGGGGAGCAAAACGGGG